AGAUUUUCAAGCUGUUUGCCGUGGGUCCAUGGGUGAGCCAUGCCCUUGUCUCCCUCUUUCUCAUGUUUUCUAAUCAUUGGUACAGGCUACUCUGCUCUCUCAUGCUUCUUGGUGAAAGUGGAUUCUUUUGAGGAGAUAUUGGGGUUAGGGCUGCUGCUGAGUAUAUUUCUGGUUCCUACAGGUAAAAAUAUAUUAAGUAUCAAGGGAAGCUGUAGGUGAGGGCAGAGUAGAUCUUGGGGGUGUAAAUCCCUGGGCAUAGCAGACUUUCAAAGAUGAUGUGGGUCCAAAGGGAGAUCAUCAAGCAGUAAACGGUCUUAGGUAUUAUCUGGGUAACAGGUAGAAUAAACAGAAAAUUUCACCAAGGUAAAUAUAUGGUAUGGUGAAUGGGUGGAGUUGAAACGUAGGUUGCAGGUAUCUAAGGGGCCCUGGAGGUAUGGACAGAUCUGCUGGGCUGGAUGGUGGGGGAAGGGUUGUGGGUUCAUCUCUCCUGUGUUGUCCCCUCCCCUCCCCUCAAGAACCUUUGGUGUCUGUGCUAAAGCUCUGUGACGUGGGCCUGGAACUCUAGUCUAGAGUGUGCACUCUUAAUGCCCAGCUGCCUGAGGCAGCAAUGCAUUUCCCAUGACGAGGACCACCUUCCCCGUUUGAGGAGCCUUACUGCACCAUGGCUGAGCUCCAGCUCAUCUUCCUAGGUAUUCCCAUCCUUGCCUUCAUGGGUGGGAUGGUGCUCAUUCUUCUGUCAUUGUGCCACCUACAGAGAAAUCCAUGUUUUCCAAUAUUUUGGAAACAGAGAUGUCAAUCAGGCAGAAAUGACUGAAAGAUCUGGAGAAAUCUCCAGAGACAAAGCCAAGGAGGGAAGGAAGCCAAGGACCUGGGCCAUCCACAAAUUAGAUCAUUAGCUCCAGGAUAACUGAGAAUAACUGACUGUGUGACUAUGGCCAGAAAGUCCAGAAAGAGAUGAAAAGGCAAAGGAAAUGACAUGUACUUUCAACAAAGAGGAUGGCUACAGCAAUGAAAACCCAGGCAAGACUGCUACUCUCAUGUAGAUGACCUUCCUGAACGGUGCAGACAAACAACAAACAAGAACACAAACACAUAAACAAGAUAACUUCAGGUAGCACUAAGCUCUGUGAAGUCCAUAAACACAGGAAUGUGAUAGAGCCUUGGGGAGAGGAUGCUGUUGUAGACAAGGUCGCCCAGAAAGGCAUCUCAGAGUAUCUGAGCUGCAACCUGCAAGAGGAGCCCACCCUGUGGAGGUCUGCUAACCAGAUAAUGGAAUGAGUGAACUCACCAAGUAUGCUAGAGGGAGGGGGCUCCAGGCCAGCCACAGGGGGGUGCAGGCCAGGCACAGUUCUGUG
rnacentral:lncRNA from 1 species